GGCGCUGUGGCUUAGCUGGUAAAGCCGCCACCUGCAGUGCCAGCACCCCAUAUAGGCACAGGUUCGAGUCCUGGCUGCUCCA
rnacentral:tRNA from 1 species